GUUGCAGGGUAUAGACCCGAAACCCGGUGAUCUAGCCAUGGGCAGGUUGAAGGUUGGGUAACACUAACUGGAGGACCGAACCGACUAAUGUUGAAAAAUUAGCGGAUGACCUGUGGCUGGGGGUGAAAGGCCAAUCAAACCGGGAGAUAGCUGGUUCUCCCCGAAAGCUAUUUAGGUAGCGCCUCGUGAAUUCAUCUCCGGGGGUAGAGCACUGUUUCGGCUAGGGGGCCAUCCCGGCUUACCAACCCGAUGCAAACUGCGAAUACCGGAGAAUGUUAUCACGGGAGACACACGGCGGGUGCUAACGUCCGUCGUGAAGAGGGAAACAACCCAGACCGCCAGCUAAGGUCCCAAAGUCAUGGUUAAGUGGGAAACGAUGUGGGAAGGCCCAGACAGCCAGGAUGUUGGCUUAGAAGCAGCCAUCAUUUAAAGAAAGCGUAAUAGCUCACUGGUCGAGUCGGCCUGCGCGGAAGAUGUAACGGGGCUAAACCAUGCACCGAAGCUGCGGCAGCGACGCUUAUGCGUUGUUGGGUAGGGGAGCGUUCUGUAAGCCUGCGAAGGUGGCCUGUGAGGGUUGCUGGAGGUAUCAGAAGUGCGAAUGCUGACAUAAGUAACGAUAAAGCGGGUGAAAAGCCCGCUCGCCGGAAGACCAAGGGUUCCUGUCCAACGUUAAUCGGGGCAGGGUGAGUCGACCCCUAAGGCGAGGCCGAAAGGCGUAGUCGAUGGGAAACGGGUUAAUAUUCCCGUACUUGGUGUUACUGCGAAGGGGGGACGGAGAAGGCUAUGUUGGCCGGGCGACGGUUGUCCCGGUUUAAGCGUGUAGGUGUGUGUUCCAGGUAAAUCCGGUUCACUUUAACACUGAGGCGUGACGACGAGGCACUACGGUGCUGAAGCAACAAAUGCCCUGCUUCCAGGAAAAGCCUCUAAGCAUCAGGUAACAUCAAAUCGUACCCCAAACCGACACAGGUGGUCAGGUAGAGAAUACCAAGGCGCUUGAGAGAACUCGGGUGAAGGAACUAGGCAAAAUGGUGCCGUAACUUCGGGAGAAGGCACGCUGACAC
rnacentral:rRNA from 1 species